GUAUGGUGCAAGCGUUAUCCGGAUUUACUGGGUGUAAAGGGAGCGCAGGCGGAAGGCUAAGUCUGAUGUGAAAGCCCGGGGCUCAACCCCGGUACUGCAUUGGAAACUGGUCAUCUAGAGUGUCGGAGAGGUAAGUGGAAUUCCCAGUGUAGCGGUGAAAUGCGUAGAUAUUGGGAGGAACACCAGUGGCGAAGGCGGCUUACUGGACGAUGACUGACGUUGAGGCUCGAAAGCGUGGGGAGCAAACAGGAUUAGAUACCCUGGUAGUCCACGCUGUAAACGAUGAUUACUAGGUGUGGGGGGACUGACCCCUUCCGUGCCGCAGUUAACACAAUAAGUAAUCCACCUGGGGAGU
rnacentral:rRNA from 1 species